rnacentral:rRNA from 1 species
GAUGAACGCUGGCGGCGUGCCUAAUACAUGCAAGUCGAGCGAACAGAUGAGGAGCUUGCUCCUCUGACGUUAGCGGCGGACGGGUGAGUAACACGUGGAUAACCUACCUAUAAGACUGGGAUAACUUCGGGAAACCGGAGCUAAUACCGGAUAAUAUAUUGAACCGCAUGGUUCGAUAGUGAAAGACGGUUUUGCUGUCACUUAUAGAUGGAUCCGCGCCGCAUUAGCUAGUUGGUAAGGUAACGGCUUACCAAGGCAACGAUGCGUAGCCGACCUGAGAGGGUGAUCGGCCACACUGGAACUGAGACACGGUCCAGACUCCUACGGGAGGCAGCAGUAGGGAAUCUUCCGCAAAGGGCGAAAGCCUGACGGAGCAACGCCGCGUGAGUGAUGAAGGUCUUCGGAUCGUAAAACUCUGUUAUUAGGGAAGAACAAAUGUGUAAGUAACUAUGCACGUCUUGACGGUACCUAAUCAGAAAGCCACGGCUAACUACGUG